UACGAAGGGGGCUAGCGUUGCUCGGAAUUACUGGGCGUAAAGGGCGCGUAGGCGGCACUGUUAGUCAGGCGUGAAAGUCCUGGGCUCAACCUGGGAACUGCGCUUGAUACGGCAGAGCUAGAGGAUAGAAGAGGCUCGCGGAAUUCCCAGUGUAGAGGUGAAAUUCGUAGAUAUUGGGAAGAACACCGGUGGCGAAGGCGGCGAGCUGGUCCAUUACUGACGCUGAGGCGCGACAGCGUGGGGAGCAAACAGG
rnacentral:rRNA from 1 species